rnacentral:miRNA from 1 species
CUAGAUCAUGUGGUAGCUUCAUC